GAUGAACGCUGGCGGCGUGCCUAACACAUGCAAGUCGAGCGAAAAGACGGGGAGCUUUUGCUCCUAAGGGUAGCGGGGGACGGGCGGGUAAGACGUGGAUCACAUACUUAUAAGUCUGGGAGGACAACGGGAAAAAGGAGAUAAUAAUGGCUCAUAUAACGUACGGGAGAGAGCAAUAGAGAAUGGCGGCUUGCGCGACUGUUUUAGCCGGUGUCGGAUUAGCUAGUUGGGGGGGUAACGGCACACCAAGGCGACGAUCCGUAGCCGGCCUGAGAGGAUGAUCAGCCACACUGGAACUGAGACACGGUCCAGACUCCUACGGGAGGCAGCAGUGGGGAAUCUUGGGCAAUGGGCGCAAGCCUGACGCAGCAAUGCCGCGUGAGUUAAGAAGGCCUUCGGAUCGUAAAGCUCUGUUGUUAGGAAAGAACAGCUGUAUGUGAAUCCAUGGACGUCUUGACGGUACCUAAACAAAAAGCACCGGCUAACUACGUG
rnacentral:rRNA from 1 species